UCGACGGCAGCACGGGAGCAAUCCUGGUGGCGAGUGGCGAACGGGUGAGUAAUGUAUCGGAACGUACCUUUCAGUGGGGGAUAACGUAGCGAAAGUUACGCUAAUACCGCAUAUUCUGUGAGCAGGAAAGCAGGGGAUCGCAAGACCUUGCGCUGAUUGAGCGGCCGAUAUCAGAUUAGCUAGUUGGUGAGGUAAAGGCUCACCAAGGCGACGAUCUGUAGCGGGUCUGAGAGGAUGAUCCGCCACACUGGAACUGAGACACGGUCCAGACUCCUACGGGAGGCAGCAGUGGGGAAUUUUGGACAAUGGGGGCAACCCUGAUCCAGCCAUGCCGCGUGAGUGAAGAAGGCCUUCGGGUUGUAAAGCUCUUUCAGCCGGGAAGAAAUCACAUGGGUUAAUACCCUGUGUGGAUGACGGUACCGGAAUAAGAAGCACCGGCUAACUACGUGCCAGCAGCCGCGGUAAUACGUAGGGUGCGAGCGUUAAUCGGAAUUACUGGGCGUAAAGCGUGCGCAGGCGGUUUGUUAAGAUAGGCGUGAAAUCCCCGGGCUCAACCUGGGAACUGCGUUUAUGACUGGCAGGCUAGAGUAUGGCGGAGGGGGGUGGAAUUCCACGUGUAGCAGUGAAAUGCGUAGAGAUGUGGAGGAACACCGAUGGCGAAGGCAGCCCCCUGGGCCAAUACUGACGCUCAUGCA
rnacentral:rRNA from 1 species